rnacentral:rRNA from 1 species
UACGGAGGGAGCUAGCGUUAUUCGGAAUUACUGGGCGUAAAGCGCGCGUAGGCGGCUUUGUAAGUUAGAGGUGAAAGCCUGGAGCUCAACUCCAGAACUGCCUUUAAGACUGCAUCGCUUGAAUCCAGGAGAGGUGAGUGGAAUUCCGAGUGUAGAGGUGAAAUUCGUAGAUAUUCGGAAGAACACCAGUGGCGAAGGCGGCUCACUGGACUGGUAUUGACGCUGAGGUGCGAAAGCGUGGGGAGCAAACAGG